GAAUUUGUCGGUUGGUCGGGCUUCACUGUCCGCACUGGCCUGAUGGAUUCCUACCUUCUGAAUAACCAGCAUGCUAUUAAUUUAGUGCGUUGGGGAAGCAGAGCUAUUACCUUGAAAAAAUUAGAGUGCUUAAAGCAGGCUUACGCUUGAAUAGAUUAGCAUGGAAUAAUAAAAUAGGACGGCUUGGUUCUAUUUUGUUGGUUUCUAGGAUCACCGUA
rnacentral:rRNA from 1 species